CUUGAAUGUAGACUAAUCAGUAAUAACGCUUCUCAAGAAGAGAACAAAAAAGUCAACUAUGGUUUCAGGCCUACUUUCUGGCACUCAAUAAAGUGCUUGUCCUAGAACUAGAAGGAUACAGAUAGCUAAUAAGUCAAUCAGGUGAAGAUUGGAUUCCUUAAGAAAGAUAAAGAGGCCUCAGCUAUAGACACUAGGCUUAAAAAUUAAAGACAUAAGAAUAAGAAAAAUUAAAAUCCUAAAAUGUUAAACUACUACUAGCUAGUACUAGUGCCAAGGGGAGGCAAGUCAAGUUAGAAGAGCUACGUGUGCAUGUAAAGAACAUAACUUUGAUCGGUGUGGCCCACUUAUGGCACUAAAUUUGGCGCAUCCUAUGACUGCCUACUCAAUUACUUUCCCACCCAUAUCAUAUGAAGAUAGCAACAUGUGCCUACACCUUAACAUGAGAUAUUAUAAUAAAUUAAAAUUAAAAAGGUUAAUAAACGCACUAUGAAGUCUAAAGGUCUUUUCAUCCCCCACCGAUUUCCUUGACUCGUAUCCCAUCUGGCUCUCGUCAUCGAAUUCGCUGGUGCUUUUCUGCUCAGCAUGCAUCACAGCUUCAUCAUGCAGUCUUUCCUUCAGUGCUUGGAGCUCAGCACCCUACUCAUAGAGUUUAGAUUGAGCAGAAUCAUAAUUCGCGUUCCAGCACCUAAAUUUGGUAUUCCCAUCGUUCGAUGAGCAAAUAACCGUUUCUGAUCCAGUUCAGUUGGCAGGACUCCCAUGGAAUUGGUAAGAACAGUGCUCUGACCCUCCAGUUCACGAAGCACACUAGAUGAAACCUCAACAAGUUUCUAGUCAAAACUAGGGAUUAGGGAUACUCCUUAUAGCUCAAUUAAUCACAGAAUGAUAAUUAGUUGCGGAUCCAGAAAUUUCUUUUUUUAGAGUCUGACAUAUAAAAAUUAAAUAAAAUAUUAUUAAAAAUUCAUAUAUGUAGAGAGGAAAAUAUUAUUUUAUACAACUCAGCCAAUCAAAAUUAAAAAAAUUAUGUUCUAAUGAAAUUCAUCAUAUUUUAUGGUAGGAUUUAUUAUUAUUUUAAUAUUGUAUUAAUUUUUAAUUAGAUGAAUAUAUACAAAUUUAAAUAUACAUAAAAAUCACUCGAGAGAAGGUAAGAAUUACUCGAGAGUCAAGAGAGUGAAAAAAGGGUCAAUUCAG
rnacentral:misc_RNA from 1 species